AUAAUCCAUAAUGACAUAGAAUUUUUUUUUCACGAAACCAUAUGAGCUAAAUUUUUACUCUAUAUUAGAAGAUAUAUUUUUACUGUAGCAGUAGUAUUGUAAUAUAAAAAUUUAGGGGUGAUAGGCCUAUCAAGUUUGGUGAUAUCUUGAUAGCUAAGAAAUAUAUGUAGUAUUAAAACAUACUAAAAAUGGUGAGGUUUUUAGUUCACAUUAUUUAUAUUUUUAUUACUGUUGUAUUUUUAAUCAAAUCAACUUAUUAUACUACAAUAUUAAAUAUAAGUUAAAUAUGAAAAUUAUUAUGCUUAUAAAACUUAAUACUACUAUUAUAUUAAAUAUGAUUAUAUUAGUAUUAAACGUAAAAUCUUUUAAGGAACUCGGCAACCAUAUUUCUCGACUGUUUAUCAAAAACAUGCCUAAUGAACUGAUUUUAGGUUUCCUCUGCUCAAUGAUUUAUUAAAUAGCCGCAGUACCCUGACUGUGCAAAGGUAGCAUAAUCAAUUGGCUUAUAAUUGAAGUCUGGAAUGAAGGAGAAUUCGGGAAUAAGCUGUCUUAAUUAAAUAUAUAAAAAUUACUAAAUAAGUGAAAAUACUUAUAGGUUAGAAAAAAGACGAGAAGACCCUAGAAAUUUUUUUAAUAUUAAAACUUUAAUUUUGUUGGGGCGACAUGGUAACACUUAACUUACCACAAUUUAUAUGAAACUAAUUAGUUGUAUAAUUAAAUUACUCUAGGGAUAACAGCAUAAUUCAUAAGAGUUUGUGACCUCGAUGUUGGACUAGGAUACAUUUUACUUAAAAGGUAAAAUGAUCAGCUCUGUUCGAGCUAUAAGUUCCUACAUGAUCUGAGUUCAGACCGG
rnacentral:rRNA from 1 species